rnacentral:rRNA from 1 species
AGGGGAUCGUAAGACCUUGCGCUUUUGGAGCGGCCGAUGUCUGAUUAGCUGGUUGGUGGGGUAAUGGCUUACCAAGGCUACGAUCAGUAGUUGGUCUGAGAGGACGACCAGCCACACUGGGACUGAGACGCGGCCCAGACUCCUACGGGAGGCAGCAGUGGGGAAUUUUGGACAAUGGGCGAAAGCCUGAUCCAGCCAUGCCGCGUGAGUGAAGAAGGCCUUCGGGUUGUAAAGCUCUUUCAGUCGAGAAGAAAAGGUUGCGACUAAUAAUCACAAUUUAUGACGGUAUCGAAAGAAGAAGCACCGGCUAACUACGUGCCAGCAGCCGCGGUAAUACGUGGGGUGCAAGCGUUAAUCGGAAUUACUGGGCGUAAAGGGUGCGCAGGCGGUUUUGUAAGUCAGAUGUGA